rnacentral:rRNA from 1 species
UACGGGGGGGGCAAGCGUUGUUCGGAAUUACUGGGCGUAAAGGGCUCGUAGGCGGCCAACUAAGUCAGACGUGAAAUCCCUCGGCUUAACCGGGGAACUGCGUCUGAUACUGGAUGGCUUGAAUCCGGGAGAGGGAUGCGGAAUUCCAGGUGUAGCGGUGAAAUGCGUAGAUAUCAGGAAGAACACCCGUGGCGAAGGCGGUUCUCUGGGACGGUACUGACGCUGAGACGCGAAAGCGUGGGGAGCAAACAGG